GGAGGCUGUGAAAGCCAUGCGGGGUGCGUCGGUAGUCCACCCGCGCCAGGGUGCGUGGAUGCGUGGGAGGUUGCGCCCUAGGAGCCAGGUCUCCCCAUUCUUCCUGAAGCUCACGGAGGGGACAUGGCCCCAGCCCGCGGGGACUACUACGAGCUGGCGUUUGGGUACCCAGCCGCGGUGGUGCGUGGUCAGCCCCAACGGGGCUGUCAGCAGCCAGCCCAGGGUUUGAGAAUUGGAGUGCGAUGUCCAGGGGCAUGGUCUAGCGUAGCCUCUGCACAGGCCUAGCAGCACUUGGAUGGAUUCCAGUGGUGGGGACGGUAGCAAUCUGAGGGCGGGACCCAGUGUUCAAGACCUGGCCGAGAGUGGUCCGAGCCGCGCUGGGGGCCAGGGGUCACUAGACCCCAGGGCUGCUUUUGACCCUCUUGCUCCCAGGUUUUAGGGUUUGGAUGCUGGAGACCUGGGUUCGAACUCUGGCUGUUGCCAGCUCACUCUGGGCCUCAGUUGCUCCUUCUAUAAAACUCACGGCAGUGUCCCACAAAAGUGUGACCUGUCCCACACAAGUGUGAUCUGCUGACACCCUCCUACCACCAGGAUCUAUUGUUAACUAGAUCACUGUUAACUACUAUUAAACAUGCAGUUUCCUGGGCUCGAUCCCAGACCCUUAAUCCUCGUAAACUCCCUUGAAAAUCCGAAGAUCAGAAGGUAUCCAAGGGUCCCUCCCCUGAGAUGAUCGCGCUGUGGAUGGAGGCUAUUGUGAGGAAUAUAUGUAGGAUUGUGUCAGGCUGCCCAAUAAUAAUACCAAUCCAAUAAUAAUAAUACGAUCCUGCUCCCAACUUCUCUGAACUAAGCUACCCCAUUUCUAGCCUGGGGUGGGCGUUUACCCAAGAGGCCAGUCAGUAGAGCCCAUCUGGGCAGGAAGCGAGCCCCAGGGAGGGGAAGCAUCUUGCUCUAGGUCACAAAGCCAUAGAGGGGCGAGCCAGAGUUCAAUGGAGGUCCAAGGACUCCCAGUCCAGUGCUCUCCCCGAGCCUUCAGCGUCCGCCUGCGUUUCGGGCGCACGCGUCUAUCUCGGCGGAGGUAGAGCUCCGCCCGAGUUCUAGUGCAAGAAGGGCUUAGCCACCCAAGGUCCUCGACCCUACUUCAGCAAAGGCCACGGGGAGCGAGGGGUGAUCUGCAAGAACCGACACCCAGUGUCCGGCUCCUGCUGGGGGCGGAGCCAGAUCAGAGCGACAGGCAAUCGGGCCAGUGCCGGGCAGGCUCUGGGCCUGACAGCCAAUCGGGAGCCAAGAGCGCGGAGCGGGCAGAGAGGCGAGGCACUGGAGCAUGGGGGACCCUUGGGGCUACUCGCCUCGGCCCCACCCCCGCGGUGGGUCCAGGCCCCGCUGGUCCCGGCCCAAGCCGACUGAGCCGGCACUCACGGCUGCCGGCGGUGCGCUGUAGCUGGCCCCGCCCCGGCUCGGAGUGCACUGGGAGGGCGAACCUGGGGUCGGACCCGCAGUCCCCGGCCCUGGCCUCCUGCCGAUCGCUAUCACCCCUAGCCUCUCCGGCUGAGCUCGGCGUCCCAGAGAGGAUUAAGUAAGUGCUGAGGUCGCAGCUUCUGUGCAAGAAUGGAGGAAUCACAGAGUCGCAGAGCGGGGAUGGGGAUUGGAGCAGGGAGGACUGAAGAACCUGGUAGAGAACGGUAUGCGGGUUCUCGGAGGUCGCGGUGCCAACCCAUUUCACCCGUUUCAUUCUCUUGCCCUUUGGACCCUCAGGCAGUCCCAGACAGUGAUGGGCAGGGCCUUUUCUCUGCUUUGGAUCGAGGAAUCAAGAGAGCCCAGAGCAAGAGUUAAGGGUCUGGCCCAAGGUCAUGUCUGGGGUCAGAGGCAGAGCCAAGGAAGAACCUGGGGCUGCUGAUGCGUUCAGCCUAGCUGGAGGGAGAGGGCAGAGAGGGAUGAGCCCCCAUAUCCCUCUGCCAACCUUACCCCUUCCUAAGGAGCCAUCAUUAGUGUGUACACUCCUCACACACACACCCAUGCACCUGCACAGGGAGGCACCCUGCAUACACCCAUGAGCUAGGACAGGGAGGUAUGUGUGCAGCCAUGAGCUGUGUAUCUCCCCCUUCUCCCUAGACCUGCCCUUAGGCAGCUUGAAUGGGCCCCCUUCCCACCUUGCCUUACCCUGCGCCCUCUGGCCUGGGAACACCUAAGCCACACCCUCUUGCCUCAUCUCCCACCCUCUCCUCCCAAGGGAGGAGGGAGGGGAGAAGAAUCAUCUCAGAGUGGGUGCUCCAUCCCUGCAUAUGAAGACACACUCCCUGCUCACCUGGUUUUUCCUUGUCUCCGGCAGCCCCUAGCUCCCCAAUGGAGGUCCUGUGACCCUAAGAGCCUGCAGAGAAGUCGUGCCAGAGGACCUGACCUUAGCCUCUCUCCCCUUCCUGCCUUCUGGGCUCUCCACACCUGCCCUGCCCCACUGCAAACACAGCCUGGAUCACAAAAUUGGCUGGGUCCAGGGGCUUCUUUCCCAAGUGGGCUGCCCAGUGGGGAAGGUCUAUACAUUGGGUGCUUACUGUGGGCAAGGGUUGCGCUGAACUGUCUUUUCAAGGGACCAGUUCAUUCUGCCAUUUUAACGAACCUGUGAGGGAGGUGGGGUUUUGUUUUUGUUUUUGUUUUUGUUUUAUCUCAGACUCAGGAGAACUGAGACACAGAAGUGGAGUGACAUGCCUAAGGUCAUCUGACUCUUGGGCAAGUGUUUCCCUCCAGGAAAGGAAAAAGCUGCAGUAUUUUUUUUCUCCAAGCAGGAGCACCCAAGGAGCCAAGGAGCUCCCUUUAUCCAAGGAGGUGGCAACCUGCAAGUAUAGUGGGGGGCCACAGUCUGGAACACUACUGAUGUCAGAAUCAAGUUGGCAGGUUGGCUGACCACAGGCAGUCUCUCAGCCAGGGCCCUCUCAGCAUCAGCAUGAACUCCAGGAUCCCAUCUGCCAGGGGCUGGUUCAGCAGCCGCCCACCCACCUCUGAGCUUGACCUGGAGCCUGCCACAGAUGGGCCAGCUUCCGAGACCACUACCCUCAGCACAGAAGCUACCAGCUUUAAUGACACCAGAAUCCCUGAUGUGGCUGGUGGCACAGCUGGUGUGGGCACAAUGCUUCUGUCCUUUGGGAUCAUCACAGUGAUUGGCCUGGCUGUGGCCAUGGUUUUAUACAUCAGGAAGAAGAAGAGGCUGGAGAAGCUCCGCCACCAGCUCAUGCCCAUGUACAACUUCGACCCUACGGAGGAACAAGAUGAACUGGAGCAGGAGCUGCUGGAGCACGGGCGGGACGCUGCCUCCAUGCAGGCUGCUGCCUCUAUGCAGGCCAUGCAGGGCAAGACCACUCUCCCCUCUCAGGGCCCACUGCAGAGGCCCAGCCGGCUGGUGUUCACCGACGUAGCCAAUGCCAUCCAUGCAUGAGUGCCCCGGGGACAGGCCUGGACUUCUGAUGAAGACACCUGCCACAGUGCCCAUUGAGCUGCCCACUCCGUGAUUGUUCAGACCUACUCUAAGGACCUGCCCUGCCAAGGCCCAGCUAUUCCCAGGACCCACCUGCUGACUCUCCAGGCCCUAAGAGAGGCCCUGGCCAGGCAGGCUGGACAUCUGGCUACUGAUGUCCCCUGAUCUGAGGGCCCUGGCAUGGAGGGCAUCCCUCAUGUCAGGAAGGUUGAGAGCUAUGCUAGCUUCCUUGUGUCCUCCCCAGACUCCUUACAUCAUGGUCUGCUCCUCUAAUGUGGAGGAAAUGGGGGGGGGGGGGAGACAUGGGAUGGGAGGGAAAAGGAGAGAGGAGUAGGGAGGGUUUCCCCUUUGUCAGGGAGAGACCUGUCUUCAGAAUCUGGAGCCUCCUCUACAGUGCAGAGAGGCAACCAACCGGGUCGCCCCAGGAGAAGCCCAGGGAUGAAGCAAGAACUGCCAAGUGGGCAAGGAUGCCAGGAAGAGGGCUGCUCCUACCCAAGGCCCAUCUGUAUUUUGGAGGGUCCAUGAGGCCUCCCAGCCACCCUCCCUGGCAGCCAGCUGUUGGCUGGGAAAGAGCAAAGGAAGUAGGGGAAUGGGUGUAGAGGAACACAGUGCCUGGACCUGCUGAAAGGCCUCAGACAUGUGCGUGAAUGUGCCCAUGUGCAGGGUAGGAUGUGCGUAUCCCAGCACAGGGUAGGAUGAAGACCUUCUGUAUGGGCCCCACCCUCCAAGUCCACCCCACCCCUUGAUGUGUGUGGGAGCACCAGGAUAGGCCACCUUCUCUGCCUUCAGUGUUCAGGACUGAAGGGAAAGGAAAGCCAAGGUGAAGGUCCUGCUGCCCAUCUCAUCUCUUCACUGGGCUCUACAAGCCAGGAAUUCUACCAGUCUGGGGCAUGUGAGCAAGGCAUGGGGCUAAGCCAGACCCCAGGAGCUGAGCAAUUUUCUACUCUGAGCAUGCAUGCGCACGUGAGCAUGCACAGAAGCAUGCCCCCAUGCCCAGCCUCACCACCAUUGCUGUCCUCCGCUUUCUGGAGGGGAUGCGGGGGCAGCAGCACAGACCUUCUGUUGGGCAAAUACCAUGUGUCAGGAUGUGAGGGCCAAGGAGGCCCGUGUAGGGAAGAUUUGGGAUGUAUUCCCUCCUCUAGAUGCUAUAAAUACAUUAGCACUUGAACCAACUGGAGGGCUGUGGGUAAUUUAGGAUGCACAGACGCUGUAAUUUAACUCACAGCAUCUCCAUGUGAGAGCAUUAAAGAUGUAAUUAAGAUGUUUACACAAAAA